rnacentral:rRNA from 1 species
AGGAAUAUUGGUCAAUGGGCGAUGGCCUGAACCAGCCAAGUAGCGUGAAGGAUGACUGCCCUAUGGGUUGUAAACUUCUUUUAUAAAGGAAUAAAGUCGGGUAUGCAUACCCGUUUGCAUGUACCAUAUGAAUAAGGAUCGGCUAACUCCGUGCCAGCAGCCGCGGUAAUACGGAGGAUCCGAGCGUUAUCCGGAUUUAUUGGGUUUAAAGGGAGCGUAGGCGGAUUGUUAAGUCAGUUGUGAAAGUUUGCGGCUCAACCGUAAAAUUGCAGUUGAUACUGGCAGUCUUGAGUGCAGUAGAGGUGGGCGGAAUUCGUGGUGUAGCGGUGAAAUGCUUAGAUAUCACGAAGAACUCCGAUUGCGAAGGCAGCUCACUGGAGUGUAACUGACGCUGAUGCUCGAAAGUGUGGGUAUCAAACAGGAUUAGAUACCCUGGUAGUCCACACAGUAAACGAUGAAUACUCGCUGUUUGCGAUAUACAGUAAGCGGCCAAGCGAAAGCAUUAAGUAUUCCACCUGGGGAGUACGCCGGCAACGGUGAAACUCAAAGGAAUUGACGGGGGCCCGCACAAGCGGAGGAACAUGUGGUUUAAUUCGAUGAUACGCGAGGAACCUUACCCGGGCUUGAAUUGCAACUGAAUGAUGUGGAGACAUGUCAGCCGCAAGGCAGUUGUGAAGGUGCUGCAUGGUUGUCGUCAGCUCGUGCCGUGAGGUGUCGGCUUAAGUGCCAUAACGAGCGCAACCCUUAUCGAUAGUUACCAUCAGGUUAUGCUGGGGACUCUGUCGAGACUGCCGUCGUAAGAUGUGAGGAAGGUGGGGAUGACGUCAAAUCAGCACGGCCCUUACGUCCGGGGCUACACACGUGUUACAAUGGGGGGUACAGAAGGCAGCUACACGGCGACGUGAUGCUAAUCCCUAAAGCCUCUCUCAGUUCGGAUUGGAGUCUGCAACCCGACUCCAUGAAGCUGGAUUCGCUAGUAAUCGCGCAUCAGCCACGGCGCGGUGAAUACGUUCCCG